UUCAAUCCGCCGCUGAACUCCCUCUUCCGUAGCUGAUCAGUUGGCCACUGCUCUUCAAGACCUCUCCAAACUUUAUUCCGCUCGAGGCUUCUCUCUAAGAGCCGAUCAAAUUUUCUCCCGCGCACUCCAAAUCAGUCACGCCAAAGGGGGUUCACUCAUUGAAACAGAGUCAGUUUCUGAUGUAUUUACAGAGGCUCGGGAUUCACGGAAUGAGGUUACCGCUGAUCAUAUUGCAGAGCAUGGCUAUGGUGAGAGUUCUUCAAACUUGAAAAGUGAUGACUUCCCACUGGAGGGUGAUGCUGAAGAUGGUAAGUAACAAUUAUUGUAUAUUGCUUUUUGUGAUGAUAAAUUGAGAUCGUGUUGAACUGAUACUAAAGACAAACUUUCAUGCCUCUCUACCC